AUAAUGCAAAUUCUCUCUCAAGGCCUUAUGAAUGUAAAUUAAUGUAGGUACAUGAGGUAACUGGAAGCUUUAUGCUAAGUAGCGUUACUGAUGUGUAUAGAAAAGCAAACAACCAUUCAGACAUUUCAAGACACCCUUAUAUAGUUCAGCCACCCAUUUCACUGCAUUCCUCUCCACAGCAUUCGGUUGCUUUUCAUCAUCAGAGCCAUAGGAAGAUGAGUAGAUUUCAUAUCUCUAUUACUGCUGAAAACUCAAGAUCAGAAAACUGAGCUUAAUUAAAAAUAGCAUCAAUGAAACACAAAGCAUCCCUCAACCAAACAAACUGAAGCAACCCUUCCGCUGUUUUCUGAAGACAGAUUGUUUUCAAGAAUUAUGCAGAAUUUGCACGAAGCAUCAGAAGAGAUUUAGCACCAAGACAACAAAUAAAAGAUUUCCAGAAGUUUCAUAUUUUUCAUCUCUAGGUUUCUGCCCUUCUUUGAUUUCUGAAUAUCUGCUGAAAUUUAUAAAAGUAAAAUUUGAAACCAUUUAGUCUUGCUGCCUACGCUUCUUUUAGUUCACUCCCAGCUCUACUCCAUACAAAUUAAUGCUAUCAUAUGCAAAAGCAGCAUAGAAUUUUUCCUACACUUGUUUCCCUACUCAAAAUCUGUUUUGCUGGGGGUUUUUCCUCCCCAAGGAAAGAAAUCCAGUAGAACUACAUGUGC